AAUAACAGCUCCCUCUGGUACAUCUGCAUUAAACAAAUUUUAAUAAAAAUCUACGUAAAAAAUAACAAUACAACUACUCUUUCAUUACUUGCAGCCUUCACAACUAUCAUCAUAAAGUAUAUCAUUCCAUAAAUAAUAAUGCUACUAUAUCUAAUUCCCUCAGCUGAACAAUACAAGGUAGCAAAAAAAAAGGCAACAAAGGCAGUUACUUAAGUAACAACGCAGGCCUUUGAAAAGUUAUAU
rnacentral:misc_RNA from 1 species